rnacentral:rRNA from 1 species
CCUACGGGGGUCAGCAGUGGGGAAUAUUGCACAAUGGGGGAAACCCUGAUGCAGCGACGCCGCGUGAGUGAAGAAGUAAUUCGUUAUGUAAAGCUCUAUCAGCAGGGAAGUAAAUGACGGUACAUGAGCAAGAAGCUCCGUCUAACUACGUGCCAGCAGCCGCGGUAAUACGUAGGGGGCACGCGUUAACCGGAUUGACUGGGUGUAAAGGGAGCGUAGACGGCAGUGCAAGUCUGGAGGGAAAGGCGGGGGCUCAACCCCCGGACUGCUCUGGAAACUGUACGGCGGGAGUGCAGGAGAGGUAAGUGGAAGUCAUAGUGUAGCGGUGAAAUGCGUAGAUAUUAGGAAGAACACCAGUGGCGAAGGCGGCUGACUGGACUGUAACUGACGCUGAGGCUCGAAAGCGUGGGUAGCAAACAGGAUUAGAUACCCUAGUAGUC